ensembl:lincRNA Gm29235 predicted gene 29235
AGAACACUUUUCAAUACUCUCCAAAAUGAUGAAUUUGUGCACUCUAACUGAAAGUCUCAGUAUUACCAGCAACAACAUUUGUAGUCAUUUUCACUAAAUUCAGAAAUAUUAUGGUAGAAAUAUAGUUCACAUAUUCAAGACAAAUUAAUAUAUAUUUGUGAGUUCAUCUACUAUUCCAGAGUUUCUGCAUAAAUACACAAUGGCAGAGUUCACGAACUUAACUAGUGGUGUAAUCUUUUUAAUACUGAUAUGCUUCAUUAUGAGUAAAUAGAAUUCAGAGACAUUUUUCAGGACUAUUCCCUCGGGAAUGUUAUCUGAAGCAAAAUAUUACAAUGGAGGCUUAUAUUGUGUGCAUUUGUCUUGGUAAUUCUUUUGAUACAGUCACUAAUAGCAUGACUGUAAACUCAUUUCUCUGAGUAAUUAAAUCCAAGAAUUUGUAACA